ensembl:lincRNA
AUGCUGUGCUGCUUUCCCAGAUCUCGAGGCCGCAGCCUCAGGACCCCUCGCAGGGAAAGCACUUGGGAACGAGUGAGAGGAUGGAUGACUAAGUCCAGGCGCAACAGGCCACUGGGCAGGAACCGCUCAGCCCACGUGGGCAGCACAGGGCAGGUCUCUCCAGACCCAGAGGCCUUGGGCCCUGAGAUGAGGGGCAGCCAUGGGCAGGCCUCCCUGGGCCUGGAAACCAGACACUCUGAGAAAGUGAGUCCAGGACAAGAACAUUUAGGCCUGGACACCACUAUUGGAAAUCAGGAGGCGGAGAGCCUGGCAGAGGUCUGCGCAGUGAGGACGGCUCAGACAGGCCGACCACACACCCUGUCUGAGCCCCCGGAGCAGGCCUUCCCGGACAGCUGUCCCAUCAACAGGCCCUCCUUCCAGGAACCCACAAGGGCCUGCAUUUCCUCCCCACAGGAGGGGAGCCUAGAAAGGUGAGUUCUGCCCUCAGCAGCACAAUGGACUUGGCCACUAUGGCUCCAAUCUUGGGAACCUGCAAUCCCCUCUCUCAGCCUCAGUUGGCAAUUCUAAGCAGGGCGGUGCUGAGAAAAUCAAGCUCACUGGGACUGCAGGAUGGAAAGGGGACUCUUAUCAUAAGGGUCGAUCCUGCCCUUGGCCCCGUGUUAGACCAGCUACAGCAGCAGGGGAUUCACAGCAGUUCAAGGGGAGAGCAGAAGAAGCAGAGACGCUGGGCAACAACAUCACAGGAACUACAGCUUGAGGAGAGGCAGGGCAGGACAGACGCCUACUGUCCCUCACUACUUAGUUAUGGAGCAGCAGCCCUGUGCCCUUGAGUGCAACCACACAACAGACACCAGACUCGGUCCUCAUGGAGCUGACAGUGGGGACAGGCACGGAGACACCGUGUCAGGCUGCCCUGAGGAGGACAGAGGCGGUCACACCCCUGAACAAGGUCUCAAGUAUAGACAAAGAUAGACCAGAUCAUGAAAAAAUACUUUGUCAGUAAGUAAUAACCUUUGUAACAUGAGUGAAGAUAGUCCUGUUGACAAGUGCUAUACGUUUCUUUUUGAGUGUAUGCUUUAUUUGCUAGAAUUUUCUUAUCUAAGGAGAUUACUAAAGCCAGUCUCUUUUAUGAUCUUUGUUUUAUAGUACUGGGCUUAGGCUGAUAUCCUGGCUGAGAAUACUCAGGGAGGAUGUCACUCUCCCCAUGAUUUACACCUCGAUUCAGGAUAGACCUACCUUUCCCCUAGAUCAAUGUUACACCCUCAACUUCCCCACUUGCAAGAACAUCACCCUGCAUUGGUAUUAAAGACAUCAGGGGUAGGAGUGUAGCUCAGUGGGAGAGCACUUGUCUAAGCAUGCACAAGUCCCUGAGGAUCACAAAAACAUAAGUUAAACAAAAAAAGAAAAACAGUAUUUGUUCUACAACAAGCAAAUCAUAACAUUGCACGAUGUCCUACAGUCCCUGAUUAUCAAAGAAUAAUUAUCCUUUAGUGUCAAUUACAGGUUGUAGGUAGAGGAUAUGUUUUCCUGGAACCAUCCAUGACUUGAGCAAGUCCACUAACCUACUUCCUCACCUGUGCGUUGUUCAAUGUAUCCACUUAUUCCUGCAACACCUAGUGACUGCUGAGCAAGUCUAGUGUAGACAGCCUUUCUCCUGAGUUUGGAGCUAGGUUUUUGCUAAAAGUUAUAAAGGCAAUCAAAACACAAAUUCUAGUUGUGGUCUGAGCAUUAAAAUUUACUAUAAGCCCUAUUUUCUUUCUUUUUGAGGGUUGGUUGCCCUUUCCCUUGGGGGAGGAAUAUAUGUAUAUGUACACCAGUUCAACGAUUGCCCAAAGCAACCUACAUCUUCCUCUCACUUAAGACUCUGGAUAAUAACAGAAUACACCCAAUUAUUAAUGGAAAUAUCUGUACCUUACCCACUCCCCCAGGAAACACAAAUUGUAUGCCAGGUAUUAUCUUGCAGGUUUACAUUUAUGUUUUUACCGAACAGCAAUGCUACUGGCACCACGCACCGCACAUUAUGACCAACAUCUCAAUCUUCUGACGACACUCCAGGGUAAGGAAAAGAGCCCUUAAAAGGCUUCCUGAGGUCACACAGUAAUGGCCCCAGGAUCAAAGCCUGACACACUCGUGUCUGGGAUAACGUGUUGCAAAAACACAUGUUUUGAGAGUCAGCUUCAGGGCCACCAUAAGAAUAUAAACCUAGAAAUAAACCACACUGCUAACUGGAAGACACAAUGUCAGAAUCAUCCUAGUGCUAGUUCUCUUUGACCCACACCAAGGAUGAAAGCAACUUAAGGCCACACAGGUAAGAAGGCACCAGUCCUAGCUUUGAACUCUGGAGCUGCUCCCAUGCUGCCGGUCCAGACCAGAUACCGUGAGGCUUCUUUCACUGGACAGAGCCAGGCCACGAGGCACUAUUCUGUGACCCCCAUGGAAAUAGCCCUUUUGGCAGGGGCAGUAUGUCCUUUUUUUUUUCAUCUGCUAGGAUUGUCUUAGGCAAUGGCUUUCAGAAAGGGGAGAGAGAGAAAAAGCAAACAGUAGAAAAUUGUUUUUGGUUGCCUAUUAUAAUAUGUUAGAAGGAAACCAAAAAAUACGUUAGAAGAAAGAGGAAGCAAGUUACAUUACAAACCAGAAAUUCGUUCUUCUAGCUUCAGUUCACUUAGUUGACCCAGAAGCAGGUUUGACCUACUGACCACGCAUCCCCCAAACCCUGUCAGCCGCAGAGCCAAAGGGCAAGGUCUGGGGGGUGGCAGGCCUGGCAUUUUCUUUGAAAGGCGAUUCAACAGUGGGGACUUUUACUUUCCUAGCUCCUCCAGUGCCAGUGAUAACUGUCCCAUCUAUAUUUCACUUCAUUAUUACGAAGACUAAAUGAGAUCAAAUAUAAGCCAGCGCUCCCUAUCUGAAUGAGAUAAUUAAAGUCAGUUGGUAUUAUGAUGUGGGUGGGUUACGACAAGAUAAAAAGUUACCGGACGCUUAGGCAGAAAAGAGCAAAGAAUGGUGUGUGUGUACUCAUGCGUAUACAAACAUGCAUACAUAAGAGCACAAGUAUAUAUGCAUAAAUAAAUUGUGUCGUGCAAAUAAAGGUGACAAAACUAGUCAUGGUUUUGUAGGAAAUCCCUGAUGAAGUAUGCUAAGGCAAGUCUGCAGGUCUCUCUCUGAUUUCAGCUGCUUGGCCAUCAUAUAUCCAGAUAGUGUUUAUAGACCACUGCUGUGACCAAGAUAAGAGCGGAAGUAGCCCUCCAAACACUAGCAGGACACCCAACAAUCGACUUCCAAUGGCACAAGCGUGUUGCAAAAACACAUGUUUUGAGAGUCAGCUCAGGGCCACCAUGAGAAUAUAAACCUAGAAAUAAACCACACUGCUAACUGGAAGACACAAUGUCAGAAUCAUCCUAGUGCUAGUUCUCUUUGACCCACACCAAGGACGAAAGCAACUUAAGGCCACACAGGUAAGGGUC